rnacentral:rRNA from 1 species
AGCCCUUAAAAAUAUUAAAGGUGUAACCUGCCCAAUGGUUUUAAAUUUAAUAAAAUUAACAUUUUAUAAUAAAACUUAAAGGACGCAGUAACCUGACUGUGGUAAUGUAGCAUAAUCNCUAGCCAUUUAAUUGAUGGAUAGUAUGAAUGGUUGAACGAAUAUCACACUGUCUUAAAUAGAAAUCUCAUGAAAUUUAAAUAAUAGUUAAGAUGCUAUUUAAAAUUGUAAGACGAAAAGACCCUAUAGAGCUUAACUAUAUUCUCUUUUAAAUAUAAAAAAAACAAAAAGUUUCUAUAAAAAUUAAAGAGAAAGGUAGUUUAGUUGGGGCGACUGUCUUCUAAUUAAAACGAAGACAAGCAAUGUUAAUAAAAAAAAAACUUAUUGUAUAAUAAAUGAUUUAACAAUUAUAAAAAUAGGCUAUAAUGACCCGUUAUAAUUAAAAAAUAAAUAUAACGAUCAAUAAAUAAAAGCUACCUUAGGGAUAACAGGAUAAUUUUGUUCUAGAGAUCUUAUCGAAAACAAAGUUUGUCACCUCUAUGUUGAAUUAAGAUAUCCAAGUAAUGCAGAAGUUACUAAAGGUAGGUCUGUUCGACCUUUAAAAUCUU